UGAGGAAUCUUCCACAAUGGGCGAAAGCCUGAUGGAGCGACGCCGCGUGCAGGAUGAAGGCCUUCGGGUUGUAAACUGCUUUUAUAAGUGAAGAAUAUGACGGUAACUUAUGAAUAAGCACCGGCUAACUACGUGCCAGCAGCCGCGGUCAUACGUAGGGUGCAAGCAUUAUCCGGAGUGACUGGGCGUAAAGAGUUGCGUAGGUGGUUUGUUAAGUGAAUAGUGAAAUCUGGGGGCUCAACCUCACAGA
rnacentral:rRNA from 1 species